GUAUCGGUCAGUUUACCCUGUAGGUAUCGGUCAGUGUACCCUGUAGGUAUCCUCUCAGUUUACCCUGUAGGUAUCGGUCAGUGUACCCUGUAGGUAUCGGUCAGUGUACCCUGUAGGUAUCGGUCAGUGUACCCUGUAGGUAUCGGUCAGUUUACCCUGUAGGUAUCGGUCAGUUUACCCUGUAGGUAUCGGUCAGUUUACCCUGUAGGUAUCGGUCAGUUUACCCUGUAGGUAUCUCUCAGUGUACCCUGUAGGUAUCGGUCAGUGUACCCUGUAGGUAUCCUCUCAGUGUACCCUGUAGGUAUCGGUCAGUGUACCCUGUAGGUAUCCUCUCAGUUUACCCUGUAGGUAUCGGUCAGUGUACCCUGUAGGUAUCGGUCAGUUUACCCUGUAGGUAUCGGUCAGUUUACCCUGUAGGUAUCGGUCAGUUUACCCUGUAGGUAUCGGUCAGUGUACCCUGUAGGUAUCCUCUCAGUGUACCCUGUAGGUAUCGGUCAGUGUACCCUGUAGGUAUCCUCUCAGUUUACCCUAUUUGAAAGCUGAGUUGGAUUAGAGCUACGGCUUUAUGCUACUGGAGUUGAGUUGGAUUAGAGCUACGGCCUUAUGCUACUGGAGUUGAGUUGGAUUAGAGCUACGGCGUUAUGCUACUGGAGUUGAGUUGGAUUAGAGCUACGGCGUUAUGCUACUGGAUUUGAGUUGGAUUAGAGCUACGGCGUUAUGCUACUGGAGUUGCAUUGUACGGGACUUAAUGUGCGUGCAUGGUGUGAAUAUCGGGUUACCAAUCCAAUGCUCUAAACCUGAUAUUUGAAAAUAAGACAUUUUAGAAAUGAAUUGAAAUGAUUAAGUAUAGAGUACGUUGAAGUUUCUACUUUAUCCAUAUUUAUAACAUAUUUUUUAUCUCCUGAAAUUCCACACCAUUGAUUUAAUGUGUCUUACUGUUAAAGGUGUUGAAAGAUAUACAGUACAGACUAACCACAUGUGUUUUCCGUUUUUAGUUCUCUCUCUGAAAUACAACAGAACCUGAUGUCCCACCAUUCAUGUGACAUGUAUGGUAGGUUACUGUAAAUGUGACAUGUCUGGUAGGUUACUGUAAAUGGCAGGGUUCAAACCGUGUAUUACAAUACCCACAGCUCUUACAUUCUGAAGCACAACUCUAGUUUCAGAACGCUGGUUGUAAAUAUUGUCUCGUGUUACUGUACAUUUGAAUUAGGCUGACUUGAUCGUCUUUCCAUUGGUUUAAUGUCAAUUUAAAACUGUCAUUUUGAAUUGUAUGACUGCAAGGUAUGUUUAGAUUUGUUUUGUGUACGUAAGAUCAUUAACACAUAUUGUCGUGCAGCACGAUAUACACUUGGAGAAUUUGUACAUUACAGGGCUAUUUUAACGGCAAUGGUUGAAAAAAUAUGACGUUGCUCAGAAUAUCACUCUAAUCUUGGGUUUUAUGCGGUUGAUUUAUUAAAAUAAAUGAUAUUCUGUUGCUGUAAAGGAACUGAUCUGCUGUUGAAUAUCUUCUGAUAAUGGUGGUUAACAAAAAACUACAACAAACUUUUGGUCAAUUCAGGUUUUUCUUCUACUUUGUUCAUUUUUUAAUGUGUACAUUUAUUAUUAUUAUUAUUAUAUUUUUUUUUUGCGUUUGGUUUUGAUAUUACAUACAGACAGGAAAUCCAAGUUUGCUCACUUACAUGAGUGGUCAAAAGUAGUGCACUACAUAGGGAAUAGGAUGCCAUUUUGAACUAAAUUAGAGUAGAUUAAUACGUUGUGUGUGUGUGUGGCAGGGAACAUAGUCCCUGUGGUGCAGGGUAGGCAACCCUGUUCCUGAAGGGCUUCAGGUACAGCAGGAUCUGGUUCCAACUACGCGCCACAUCUGACCAACUGAGCUAAUUGAUCAGUUCAGUGAUUGCCUAAAUUCAUCACACCUGGUCUUCUAGGUUGUUUAAGUCCAAACAUGAGGUGCUUGUGGGAGGGUUGCCUUACCCUACUGUGGUGCUAUGAUAAAGGCCCUAUUCAGGAAGUGUCUCAUAAAUGGCUAAUACAGUCUUGUGACCGCUGACCUGGAUUCGAAUCCUAGUCGGUGUCACCUUUCACACAGCACCAGGACCUGUAGUCUUAAAGCAUCUCACAGUAGGAGUGCUGAUCUAGAAUCAGUGUAUGCUUUUACAUCAUAAUAAUUACAGUAUAUGGACAGGAUCGAUCUGCUCCUAGAUCAGCACUUAUAUUCUAAGACGCUUUGUGAAUAUGGGCCCAGAGUUAAAUUAAUAGAUUCUUGGAUGUGGUAUUUCUGUAAAAAAAAAAAAAAUCUGUAUUUGGGAAUAUUUUUGUACAAAUCUGAAUCGGUAAUGUACACAUUUUCAGUGUCAUUAAAGCGUGUUCAAUUGUCUAUUUUAACUGUGCACUGUCUGUGUAAUGGUUUUCUUCCGUUGAAAGAGAGGACCAAAGCGCAGCGUGGUAAGUGU
ensembl:lncRNA